AUUGAACGCUGGCGGCAUGCCUUACACAUGCAAGUCGAACGGUAACAGGUCUUCGGAUGCUGACGAGUGGCGAACGGGUGAGUAAUACAUCGGAACGUGCCCGAUCGUGGGGGAUAACGAAGCGAAAGCUUUGCUAAUACCGCAUACGAUCUACGGAUGAAAGCAGGGGACCGCAAGGCCUUGCGCGAACGGAGCGGCCGAUGGCUGAUUAGGCAGUUGGUGGGAUAAAGGCUUACCAAGCCGACGAUCUGUAGCUGGUCUGAGAGGACGACCAGCCACACUGGGACUGAGACACGGCCAAGACUCCUACGGGAGGCAGCAGUGGGGAAUUUUGGACAAUGGGCGAAAGCCUGAUCCAGCCAUGCCGCGUGCAGGAUGAAGGCCUUCGGGUUGUAAACUGCUUUUGUACGGAACGAAAAGACUCUGGUUAAUACCUGGGGUCCAUGACGGUACCGUAAGAAUAAGCACCGGCUAACUACGUGCCAGCAGCCGCCGUAACAC
rnacentral:rRNA from 1 species